rnacentral:rRNA from 1 species
AAUGGAGGAAACUCUGAUGCAGCGACGCCGCGUGAGUGACGAAGGCCUUCGGGUUGUAAAGCUCUGUUCUCAGGGAAAAAGAAAGUGAUUGUACCUGAGGAGAAAGGACCGGCUAACUUCGUGCCAGCAGCCGCGGUAAGACGAGGGGUCCAAGCGUUGUUCGGAAUCAUUGGGCGUAAAGCGGGUGUAGGUGGCUCUAUAAGUCAGGAGUGAAAGCCCUAAGCUUAACUUAGGAAGUGCUUUUGAUACUGUAGAGCUUGAAUGUGGGAGAGGAUCGUAGAAUUCCUGGUGUAGUGGUGAAAUACGUAGAUAUCAGGAGGAAUACCGGAGGCGAAGGCGGCGAUCUGGCCCAACAUUGACACUGAGACCCGAAAGCGUGGGGAUCAAA